rnacentral:miRNA from 1 species
CUUAAAAACAAACAAAAGCCGGGCAGUGGUGGCACACGCCUUUAAUCCCAGCACUCGGGAGGCAGAGGCAGGCGGAUCUCUGAGUUCGAGGC